GUAGCGGUGAAAUGCGUAGAAAUAUGGAGGACACGGUGGCGAAAGCGGCUCUCUGGUCUGUAACUGACGCUGAGGCUCGAAAGCGUGGGGAGCGAACAGGAUUAGAUACCUGGUAGUCCACGCCGUAAACGAUGAGUGCUAGGUGUUAGGUCCUUUCCGGGACUUAGUGCCGCAGCUAACGCAUUAAGCACUCCGCCUGGGGAGUACGACCGCAAGGUUGAAACUCAAAGGAAUUGACGGGGGCCCGCACAAGCGGUGGAGCAUGUGGUUUAAUUCGAAGCAACGCGAAGAACCUUACCAGGUCUUGACAUCCCAGUGACUGCCCUAGAGAUAGGGUUUCCCUUCGGGGCACUGGUGACAGGUGGUGCAUGGUUGUCGUCAGCUCGUGUCGUGAGAUGUUGGGUUAAGUCCCGCAACGAGCGCAACCCUUAUUGUUAGUUGCCAUCAUUGAGUUGGGCACUCUAGCGAGACUGCCGGUAAUAAACCGGAGGAAGGUGGGGAUGACGUCAAAUCAUCAUGCCCCUUAUGACCUGGGCUACACACGUGCUACAAUGGCUGGUACAACGAGUCGCAAGCCGGUGACGGCAAGCUAAUCUCUGAAAGCCAGUCUCAGUUCGGAUUGUAGGCUGCAACUCGCCUACAUGAAGUCGGAAUCGCUAGUAAUCGCGGAUCAGCACGCCGCGGUGAAUACGUUCCCGGGCCUUGUACACACCGCCCGUCACACCACGAGAGUUUGUAACACCCGAAGUCGGUGAGGUAACCGUAAGGAGCCAGCCGCUCUAAAGGG
rnacentral:rRNA from 1 species